GUGAUGUUUAUAAUGUCUCAUCAGAACAGUGGGAGGUCCUGACUAGACGUUACAGUGAUGUUUAUAAUGUCUCAUCAGAACAGUGGGAGGUCCUGACUAGACAUUACAGUGAUGUUUAUAAUGUCCCAUCAGAACAGUGGGAGGUCCAGACAUUACAGUGAUGUUUAUAAUGUCCCAUCAGAACAGUGGGAGGUCCUGACAUUACAGUGAUGUUUAUAAUGUCCCAUCAGAACAGUGGGAGGUCCAGACAUUACAGUGAUGUUUAUAAUGUCUCAUCAGAACAG